ACUGCUCAGUAACACGUGGAUAACCUACCCUAAGGUGGGAGAUAACCCCGGGAAACUGGGGAUAAUACCCCAUAGUCUAUGGAAGCUGGAAUGCUCUAUAGUUAAAAGAUUUAUCGCCUUAGGAUGGGUCUGCGGCCGAUUAGGUAGUUGUUGGGGUAACGGCCCAACAAGCCUUUGAUCGGUACGGGUUGUGGGAGCAAGAGCCCGGAGAUGGAUUCUGAGACACGAAUCCAGGCCCUACGGGGCGCAGCAGGCGCGAAAACUUUACAAUGCGGGAAACCGUGAUAAGGGAACUCCGAGUGCCCGUAAACGCGGGCUGUCCAUCUGCUUAAAAACAGGUGAAGAAAGGGCCGGGCAAGACCGGUGCCAGCCGCCGCGGUAAUACCGGCGGCUCGAGUGGUGGCCACUAUUACUGGGCUUAAAGCGUCCGUAGCUUGGUUGUUAAGUCUCUUGGGAAAUCUGUCGGCUUAACCGACAGGCGUUUAAGGGAUACUGGCAAUCUAGGGACCGGGAGAGGUGAGAGGUACUCCAGGGGUAGGAGUGAAAUCCUGUAAUCCUUGGGGGACCACCUGUGGCGUAGGCGUCUCACCAGAACGGCUCCGACAGUGAGGGACGAAAGCUGGGGGAGCAAACCGGAUUAGAUACCCGGGUAGUCCCAGCCGUAAACGAUGCGCGUUAGGUGUAUCGGUGACCACGAGUCACCGAGGUGCCGAAGGGAAACCGUGAAACGUGCCGCCUGGGAAGUACGGUCGCAAGGCUGAAACUUAAAGGAAUUGGCGGGGGAGCAC
rnacentral:rRNA from 1 species